CAAAAAUAAUAGCCAAUUAAAAUCAACAUAUAAGAUUUGAUAUCUAAAUUUUAAUUAAUUUAAUUUAAUUAGAAAAACGAAAUACAUUAUUAAUUUC
rnacentral:sRNA from 1 species